rnacentral:rRNA from 1 species
UACGGGGGGAGCAAGCGUUGUUCGGAUUUACUGGGCGUAAAGGGCGCGUAGGCGGCCUGAUAAGUAGGGGGUGAAAUCCUGCGGCUUAACCGCAGGGCUGCCUUCUAAACUGUCAGGCUCGAGCACAGUAGAGGCAGGUGGAAUUCCCGGUGUAGCGGUGGAAUGCGUAGAGAUCGGGAAGAACAUCAGUGGCGAAGGCGGCCUGCUGGGCUGUUGCUGACGCUGAGGCGCGACAGCGUGGGGAGCAAACAGGAUUA